rnacentral:tRNA from 2 species
GUAGUCGUGGCCGAGUGGUUGAGGCGAUGGACUGGAAAUUUAUGAGAUCUCCCCGCACAGGUUCGAAUUCUGUCGACUGCG